AGCAGCUUUUGCAUCAACUAUCCACGUCUACUUAACCUCAAACUCCUACUGAACCCGUCCAAGGCCGGUGAAGUCGCUGCUUUCAUCCUUCCUGCUUUCCACCUUUGGCCUUUGUUUCUUUGCUCCAGUCAAGCUGUUUUCAAGCCUUGCAUUUUAGGUGCGUGGGUGUUUGGUCUGACACAUGUCUGUGCAGCAUGUGCAGUGCCCGUGGAAGCUUGCAGAAGAUGUUGAAUUUCCUAGAACUGGAGUUAUAGACACUUCGGAGCCACCUUAACAGUGCUGGGAGUCGAACUCCGGUCCUCUGGAGGAGCAGCCAGUCCUCUUACCCUCCAGGUCAGAAGUUCAAUCCAUUAUCAUCGAGGCAGGAACAUGGCAGUGUCCAGGCAGGCAUGGUGCAGGAGGAGCUGAGAGUUCUACAUCUUCGUCUGAAGGCUGCUAGGAUGGGGGACUUAAAGCCCAUACCCACAGUGACACACCUACUCCAGCAAGGCCACACCUACUCCAACAGGGCCACACCUUCUAAUAGUGCCACUCCCUGGACUGAGCAUAUACAAACCAUGACACCUACUUUCCCUGUCCAGACACAAUUUGCCUUAGGUUCUGGUUCAUCCUUUCUGUUGUUAGUCAUGGGGAGUAGCUUCCCAGGAUUUUCUGGGGGACAUUUUGUUGCCAUUUCUUCCUGGAUGUGCUUGAAUGGAAGGACAGAGCCUGGGCCCUGGCAUUGGCUGCCCCUGUUUCUGGUCUGAGCUCCACAUACCCCAUCUUUGCACUGUUGGGGAAACUCAUCUCCUGCACGUCUAGUGAAAGGAGGCGUUUGAGUGAGUCCCAGUGGCUUCCUAAUCUGACUCCUGGAACAAAAGACCACAAACGUGGCUUCAGCUUUCACAAGGAAAUUUAUUCUCUCCUGGUUCUAGAGGACAGCUCUUUUCUGGACUAAACUGAGGUUCUGGCAGACCCACCUUCCCCCUGGAGCUCCGGGAGAGAACGCAUCCUUGCUUCUGGGUGCAGCUAUACUCCCCACCUCUGUCACCUCUUCUCCAUGUGUAUCGAGUCACACACUUAAAGGACUCUGUGGUUGCAUUUAGGGACCAUCUCCCUACUCGCAGGUCCUUAAUUUAAGUCCAUGCACCUGCAGUCUUUGUCAUGUAAGGUGGCAUCUCACAAGUCAGAGGGAUGAGGACAUGAUGUAGCCGGUAUCAUUACUCAGACCUUCACCCUCAUCAGCCACAAGAGCUCAUUGUGACACUCCAGGGACACGAUAUAUGUGAAAAUACCUUCUGUGUUUUCAGAGGUUUAUCUACUUUCAUUUUAUAUGUGUGAUUCUUUUGCCUGCAUGUGUGUAUCUGUAGCAAGUGCAUGCCUGAUGCCAAUAGAGGCCCAAGGAGGGCAUCAGAUUUUCUGGAAUUGGAGUUAUGGAUAAUUGCAAGCUGUCAUAGUGUCUGCAGGAGCAUCAAAUACUCUUAACCCUGGAGCCAACUCUCCAGCCCCAGGACAACACCAUGUUGAUGACAGCCAGCUAAGAUGUUCAGAUACCAUUUGUACUGGCUAGUUUUGUGUCAACUUGACAC
rnacentral:lncRNA from 1 species